rnacentral:rRNA from 1 species
UACGUAGGGCGCGAGCGUUGUCCGGAUUUAUUGGGCGUAAAGAGCUCGUAGGCGGCUCGUUGCGUCGGCUGUGAAAACCCGCAGCUCAACUGUGGGCUUGCAGCCGAUACGGGCGGGCUAGGAUUCGGUAGGGGAGACUGGAAUUCCUGGUGUAGCGGUGGAAAUGACGCAGAUAUCAGGAAGAACACCCGUGGCGAAGGCGGCUCUCUGGGACGGUACUGACGCUGAGACGCGAAAGCGUGGGAGCGAACAGG